CCCGCGCCGGCGGGCGCGGGCCCGUGGC
rnacentral:ribozyme from 1 species